ensembl:lncRNA URAHP urate (hydroxyiso-) hydrolase, pseudogene
AGGUCCUCGCGACUCCGCUUCUGGGCCCCAGGGCAGCAGCACGGAGCCUCCGGACAACCUACUGACCACCCACGUGCUGGACACCGCCUCAGGGCUCCCAGCCAGAGGCCUCUGCCUCCGCUUGUGCUGGCUGGAGGACCACGGCCAGCAGUGGGCGGAGCUGAGGACAAGCUACACAGACCCAGAUGGUCACUGUCCUGGACCAGAUGAAGGCAGGCACCUACAAGCUCACCUUCGACACUGAGGGCUACUGGAGGAAGAGGGGGCAGGAAAGCUUCUACCCACAUGUGGAGGUUGUUUUAACCAUCACCAGCAAGGCCCAGAAGUUCCACGUGCCCCUGGUCCUACAUCACCUACCGAGGGAGUUAGAGCGAAGACUGGCAGCGGGAGGCUGCCUGCCCGUUCCCGCACGCUGGCUGCACCCACCCAGCCCUCAACAGAGCGGGCUUUGUGCUCAUCAGGGAGCAUUGGCUCACCACUUCCUAGGGAAGUCCCGGCCCCCUGGAGAAUCCCACUGGGCAGCUGUGACUCAGGUGUCAAUGAAGUUAGUGCCAGCACCUGCAAAGCUGUCCAUUCGGUGGGACAACAGUGGCGCGAAGACAGGCAGCACAGCGCGGCACUGCCCCAACCCCCAGGUGAGUGCGGGGCACUCUGAGAAGGUGCCGCCGACUGUGGUCGGAGGUGAGACCAGGGAGUAGGCCUGGACACAGGCUGGACGUGCGGCACCCAGGGAAGGGAGCGACAGGGACACCAUGGGUGAGGGUCCUGCAGGUGGUUCUCCUCCACAGAGCCAGGAAAGAGGAUGGCAAGAACAUGUGAAAAGCUUUCAUUUGCUGAUGAUAAAAUCUAAAAAACUUGCUGUCCUUGGUGUGAUAAGGGGUGUCAUCCCGAGUGUUCCUAGGCUGGUUCUCUGGGCUGUGGCCCCCCAGGGGGGCAGCUACGUCGGGGUGCCCACCAGUCCCGCGGGGCCCUGGCCCAGUGUCUGUCCGAUCACAGCUGUUUCCAAGGGCUUGAAGCCCACGUUGUCCAGAGGGAUCCCGAAGGCCAGCAGCUUUGCCUCAUACGUGCGCAGCAGGUCGUUAUGGGCCUGUGGAGACAGGGCAGUGUCAGGGAGCUGAGGGUCCCCACGCUCAGGACCACCAGAGCUGAGUGCAGCUCCAUGGAGGGGCAGCGUGAGCAUCACGGUGCAGAAGGAUAAAGCCAAAGGCUUAUCAGUCAUUUCCCGUGUGGGACACAGCUCCAAGCACCUUCACUGCGUUGGCUCAGGUAGCACGACAGGGAGAGGCUGUCACUAUUCCUAUUCCACAAAUGACGAGACGGAGGCAGAGGGCAGGGACACUCAGGGCAGAGCUGUGGUCUGGGAGGGCUCUGGGCCCUGGCU